rnacentral:rRNA from 1 species
AGGACGAACGCUGGCGGCGUGCCUAAUACAUGCAAGUCGAGCGGACAGAAGGGAGCUUGCUCCCGGAUGUUAGCGGCGGACGGGUGAGUAACACGUGGGUAACCUGCCUGUAAGACUGGGAUAACUCCGGGAAACCGGAGCUAAUACCGGAUAGUUCCUUGAACCGCAUGGUUCAAGGAUGAAAGACGGUUUCGGCUGUCACUUACAGAUGGACCCGCGGCGCAUUAGCUAGUUGGUGGGGUAAUGGCUCACCAAGGCGACGAUGCGUAGCCGACCUGAGAGGGUGAUCGGCCACACUGGGACUGAGACACGGCCCAGACUCCUACGGGAGGCAGCAGUAGGGAAUCUUCCGCAAUGGACGAAAGUCUGACGGAGCAACGCCGCGUGAGUGAUGAAGGUUUUCGGAUCGUAAAGCUCUGUUGUUAGGGAAGAACAAGUGCGAGAGUAACUGCUCGCACCUUGACGGUACCUAACCAGAAAGCCACGGCUAACUACGUGCCAGCAGCCGCGGUAAUACGUAGGUGGCAAGCGUUGUCCGGAAUUAUUGGGCGUAAAGGGCUCGCAGGCGGUUUCUUAAGUCUGAUGUGAAAGCCCCCGGCUCAACCGGGGAGGGUCAUUGGAAACUGGGAAACUUGAGUGCAGAAGAGGAGAGUGGAAUUCCACGUGUAGCGGUGAAAUGCGUAGAGAUGUGGAGGAACACCAGUGGCGAAGGCGACUCUCUGGUCUGUAACUGACGCUGAGGAGCGAAAGCGUGGGGAGCGAACAGGAUUAGAUACCCUGGUAGUCCACGCCGUAAACGAUGAGUGCUAAGUGUUAGGGGGUUUCCGCCCCUUAGUGCUGCAGCUAACGCAUUAAGCACUCCGCCUGGGGAGUACGGUCGCAAGACUGAAACUCAAAGGAAUUGACGGGGGCCCGCACAAGCGGUGGAGCAUGUGGUUUAAUUCGAAGCAACGCGAAGAACCUUACCAGGUCUUGACAUCCUCUGACAACCCUAGAGAUAGGGCUUUCCCUUCGGGGACAGAGUGACAGGUGGUGCAUGGUUGUCGUCAGCUCGUGUCGUGAGAUGUUGGGUUAAGUCCCGCAACGAGCGCAACCCUUGAUCUUAGUUGCCAGCAUUCAGUUGGGCACUCUAAGGUGACUGCCGGUGACAAACCGGAGGAAGGUGGGGAUGACGUCAAAUCAUCAUGCCCCUUAUGACCUGGGCUACACACGUGCUACAAUGGACAGAACAAAGGGCUGCAAGACCGCAAGGUUUAGCCAAUCCCAUAAAUCUGUUCUCAGUUCGGAUCGCAGUCUGCAACUCGACUGCGUGAAGCUGGAAUCGCUAGUAAUCGCGGAUCAGCAUGCCGCGGUGGAAUACGUUCCCCGGGCCUUGUACACACCGCCCGUCACACCACGAGAGUUUGCAACACCCGAAGUCGGUGAGGUAACCUUUAUGGAGCCAGCCGCCGAAGGUGGGGCAGAUGAUUGGGGUGAAGUCGUACAGG